GAGCCCAAGAUUGAAAGCUGGCGUCUUCGGCGUCCGCAUUGUAAUCUCAAGAAGUGUUUUCCGCUUCGGACCAAGCCUAAGUCCCCUGGAAAGGGGCAUCAUAGAGGGUGAUAAUCCCGUACAUGGCUUGGAGCGCCCGAGGCUUUGUGAUACGCUUUCUAAGAGUCGAGUUGUUUGGGAAUGCAGCUCAAAAUGGGUGGUAAAUGCCAUCUAAGGCUAAAUAUUGGGGAGAGUCCGAUAGCGAACAAGUACAGUGAUGGAAAGAUGAAAAGAACUUUGAAAAGAGAGUUAAACAGUACGUGAAAUUGCCAAAAGGGAAGGGUAGGAGGUCAGAGAUGCGGCCUGGGAUUCAGCCUUGCUUUUGCUUGGUGUUUUUCCCAGAUUGCAGGCCAACGUCGGUUUUGGGCACUGGAGAAGGGUAGGAGGAACGUGGCACCCCUCGGGGUGUGUUAUAGCCUUCUACUGGAUACAGCGACCGAGACCGAGGACAGCAGCGUACUCGCAAGAGCGGGCCUUCGGGCACCUUUACGCUUAGGGCGUUGGCAUAAUGGCCCUCUACCACCCGUCUU
rnacentral:rRNA from 1 species